rnacentral:tRNA from 1 species
GCGCCCGUAGCUCAGCUGGAUAGAGCGCUGCCCUCCGAAGGCAGAGGUCUCAGGUUCGAAUCCUGUCGGGCGCACCA